AAAUUGAAGAGUUUGAUCAUGGCUCAGAUUGAACGCUGGCGGCAGGCCUAACACAUGCAAGUCGAACGGUAACAGGAAGCAGCUUGCUGCUUUGCUGACGAGUGGCGGACGGGUGAGUAAUGUCUGGGAAACUGCCUGAUGGAGGGGGAUAACUACUGGAAACGGUAGCUAAUACCGCAUAACGUCGCAAGACCAAAGAGGGGGACCUUCGGGCCUCUUGCCAUCGGAUGUGCCCAGAUGGGAUUAGCUUGUUGGUGGGGUAACGGCUCACCAAGGCGACGAUCCCUAGCUGGUUUGAGAGGAUGACCAGCCACACUGGAACUGAGACACGGUCCAGACUCCUACGGGAGGCAGCAGUGGGGAAUAUUGCACAAUGGGCGCAAGCCUGAUGCAGCCAUGCCGCGUGUAUGAAGAAGGCCUUCGGGUUGUAAAGUACUUUCAGCGGGGAGGAAGGGAGUAAAGUUAAUACCUUU
rnacentral:rRNA from 1 species